rnacentral:rRNA from 1 species
CACGCCGUAAACGAUGAAUGCCAGUCGUCGGGUUGCAUGCAAUUCGGUGACACACCUAACGGAUUAAGCAUUCCGCCUGGGGAGUACGGUCGCAAGAUUAAAACUCAAAGGAAUUGACGG